rnacentral:rRNA from 1 species
CCUACGGGAGGCAGCAGUGAGGAAUAUUGGUCAAUGGACGAGAGUCUGAACCAGCCAAGUAGCGUGAAGGAUGACUGCCCUAUGGGUUGUAAACUUCUUUUAUAUGGGAAUAAAAUGUUCCACGUGUGGGAUUUUGUAUGUACCAUAUGAAUAAGGAUCGGCUAACUCCGUGCCAGCAGCCGCGGUAAUACGGCGGAUCCGAGCGUUAUCCGGGUUUAUUGGGUUUAAAGGGAGCGUAGGUGGAUUGUUAAGUCAGUUGUGAAAGUUUGCGGCUCAACCGUAAAAUUGCAGUUGAAACUGGCAGUCUUGAGUGCAGUAGAGGUGGGCGGAAUUCGUGGUGUAGCGGUGAAAUGCUUAGAUAUCACGAGGAACUCCGAUUGCGAAGGCAGUUCACUGGACUGCAACUGACACUGAGGCUCGAAAGUGUGGGUAUCAAACAGGAUUAGAUACCCCUGUAGUC